rfam:Hordeum vulgare subsp. vulgare, WGS project CAJW01000000 data, contig: morex_contig_2546988
AUUAUACUCCCUCCGUCCAAAAUUACUUGUUGUACGUAUGUAUAAAAAUAAAUGUAUCUAAAAUUAAAAUACGUCUAGAUACAUUUAUUUCUAUGACAAAUAUUUUCGGAGAGAGGAAGUAUAAG